AAGACAGGAUCGUAGGUGGAAGCGAGACAGGUGGUGGCCGCCGAUGAUCUCUAUCCGCAAGAUAGUUGGUUGCAUUCUAAUAUCGAAGCGGAAACCGAUGGAUGUUACGACUCCAAAAACCGAUUUCAUUGGUCAACGUUAUAACCGGCCAAUAUCGCGCCACCACGCUCUCUCUCUCUCUCUCUCUCUCUCUCCACCAACCAACUCGCUUUCUAUUUGCAUAACGCAACUACUAUUCGGAUGUCGUCCGACCGACACCGUCUGAAUGAGCAAACUUUGAUCUCUCUCCCUCCCCCUCUGUUGGGAAAGAAAUUGAAACGCAAGGAGAUUCCAGCACACGUUUCUUAUCGAUCAAACGUACUUUCCUUUUCUCUCUCUCUUUCUCUUCCUCUUUUUCUUUCUUUUUUUUUUUUAUCGUUAACAAGUCGCAACGAGAGAAGA